GAUGAACGCUGGCGGCGUGCCUAAUACAUGCAAGUCGAGCGAACAGACGAGGAGCUUGCUCCUCUGACGUUAGCGGCGGACGGGUGAGUAACACGUGGAUAACCUACCUAUAAGACUGGGAUAACUUCGGGAAACCGGAGCUAAUACCGGAUAAUAUAUUGAACCGCAUGGUUCAAUAGUGAAAGACAGUUUUGCUGUCACUUAUAGAUGGAUCCGCGCCGCAUUAGCUAGUUGGUAAGGUAACGGCUUACCAAGGCAACGAUGCGUAGCCGACCUGAGAGGGUGAUCGGCCACACUAGAACUGAGACACGGUCCAGACUCCUACGGGAGGCAGCAGUAGGGAAUCUUCCGCAAUGGGCGAAAGCCUGACGGAGCAACGCCGCGUGAGUGAUGAAGGUCUUCGGAUCGUAAAACUCUGUUAUUAGGGAAGAACAAAUGUGUAAGUAACUAUGCACGUCUUGACGGUACCUAAUCAGAAAGCCACGGCUAACUACGUG
rnacentral:rRNA from 1 species